CCUACGGGGUGCAGCAGUGAGGAAUAUUGGUCAAUGGGCGAGAGCCUGAACCAGCCAAGUCGCGUGAAGGAUGACGGCCCUACGGGUUGUAAACUUCUUUUGUCAGGGAGCAAUUGGGUCCACGCGUGGGCUUAGCGAGAGUACCUGAAGAAAAAGCAUCGGCUAACUCCGUGCCAGCAGCCGCGGUAAUACGGAGGAUGAGAGCGUUAUCCGGAUUUAUUGGGUUUAAGGGGUGCGUAGGCGGAAUAUCAAGUCAGCGGUAAAAAUUCGGGGCUCAACCCCGUCGUGCCGUUGAAACUGAUGGUCUUGAGUGGGCGAGAAGUAUGCGGAAUGCGUGGUGUAGCGGUGAAAUGCAUAGAUAUCACGCAGAACUCCGAUUGCGAAGGCAGCAUACCGGCGCCCAACUGACGCUGAAGCACGAAAGCGUGGGUAUCGAACAGGAUUAGAUACCCGAGUAGUC
rnacentral:rRNA from 1 species